rnacentral:rRNA from 1 species
GACGAACGCUGGCGGCGUGCUUAACACAUGCAAGUCGAACGGAAAGGCCUGCUUUCCCUUGUGGAUUGCGGGUACUCGAGUGGCGAACGGGUGAGUAACACGUGAGUGAUCUGCCCCCAACUUGGGUAUAAGCCUGGGAAACUGGGUCUAAUUCCCGAUAGGACUGCAGGGUGGUGCCUGUGGUGGAAAACGAUUUUCUAGUGGUUGGGGAUGAGCUCGCGGCCUAUCAGCUUGUUGGUGGGGUAAUGGCCUACCAAGGCGGCGACGGGUAGCCGGCCUGGGAGGGUGGACGGCCACAUUGGGACUGAGAUACGGCCCAGACUCCUACGGGAGGCAGGAGUGGGGAAUAUUGCACAAUGGGCGGAAGCCUGAUGCAGCGACGCCGCGUGGGGGAUGACGGCCUUCGGGUUGUAAACUCCUUUCGACCGCGAGGAAGCCACCUGGUUGGAAGGGUGGUGACGGUAGUGGUAGAAGAAGCACCGGCUAACUACGUG